AGCGUAACAAAAUAUUGCUGUUGUGCUGGUUGUUCGUUUUAAUAUUAGCAUUGUAUAUACUUAAACAAUGGUCAUACUAUACAGGGUUGCCAGGUUUGGCUGUGGUCUUUGAUCAAUUCAAUCUUCAAUCGCAAUGUUUUUUCGUCAGAUUCGAUAAUCCGUUACUCGUUAGUUUGAUUCGUUUAUGUGGAUGUGUUGGUACUUAUGGAGGAAGCGAAUGUAGCGAAUGUAAACCAAAUGCGAAUGCCUUGUGUCGUUUACAAUCAGGAGACAAUAGGAAGAGCACAUCAAUUAUUCGUCGAAAAUUGUUUGCCUGAAUUUUUUGUGGCCCACGUUGAAGUGGUUAAAUGUCCCGCCAAGACGCCUUGUCGAUGGUUGGUAGCCUAUAAGUUUCGAGAUGACCAUCGUGAGUAUGCAGGAGGAGAUUUUGCUAAACGAUUGGUUAGAAGAUUUGAUGCAGCGAAACCGCGGGGUACUAAUAUAAUGAAACCGGCAAUACAUCUUUUCAUGAGCCUUAAUGAUGGUCCUCGUUAUAUGAUAAAUUACGGGGUUCUUUGCAAUUGUGAAUACAAUGAAAUAUUUUUUGGUGCAGGUGACGACGGCCCAUUCAACGUUAAUGAGCUUCCUAUGUGGGCAUAGAGAAAUCGGUAAAAUGUGUAAAUUGUGCUUUUCUAAUGUACGUAAUUAUUUCAAAUAAAGUAUUCAUCUAUUUUUCA